UUAAGCGACUAAGCGUACACGGUGGAUGCCCUGGCAGUCAGAGGCGAUGAAGGACGUGCUAAUCUGCGAUAAGCGUCGGUAAGGUGAUAUGAACCGUUAUAACCGGCGAUUUCCGAAUGGGGAAACCCAGUGUGUUUCGACACACUAUCAUUAACUGAAUCCAUAGGUUAAUGAGGCGAACCGGGGGAACUGAAACAUCUAAGUACCCCGAGGAAAAGAAAUCAACCGAGAUUCCCCCAGUAGCGGCGAGCGAACGGGGAGCAGCCCAGAGCCUGAAUCAGUGUGUGUGUUAGUGGAAGCGUCUGGAAAGGCGCGCGAUACAGGGUGACAGCCCCGUACACAAAAAUGCACAUGCUGUGAGCUCGAUGAGUAGGGCGGGACACGUGGUAUCCUGUCUGAAUAUGGGGGGACCAUCCUCCAAGGCUAAAUACUCCUGACUGACCGAUAGUGAACCAGUACCGUGAGGGAAAGGCGAAAAGAACCCCGGCGAGGGGAGUGAAAAAGAACCUGAAACCGUGUACGUACAAGCAGUGGGAGCACGCUUAGGCGUGUGACUGCGUACCUUUUGUAUAAUGGGUCAGCGACUUAUAUUCUGUAGCAAGGUUAACCGAAUAGGGGAGCCGAAGGGAAACCGAGUCUUAACUGGGCGUUAAGUUGCAGGGUAUAGACCCGAAACCCGGUGAUCUAGCCAUGGGCAGGUUGAAGGUUGGGUAACACUAACUGGAGGACCGAACCGACUAAUGUUGAAAAAUUAGCGGAUGACUUGUGGCUGGGGGUGAAAGGCCAAUCAAACCGGGAGAUAGCUGGUUCUCCCCGAAAGCUAUUUAGGUAGCGCCUCGUGAAUUCAUCUCCGGGGGUAGAGCACUGUUUCGGCAAGGGGGUCAUCCCGACUUACCAACCCGAUGCAAACUGCGAAUACCGGAGAAUGUUAUCACGGGAGACACACGGCGGGUGCUAACGUCCGUCGUGAAGAGGGAAACAACCCAGACCGCCAGCUAAGGUCCCAAAGUCAUGGUUAAGUGGGAAACGAUGUGGGAAGGCCCAGACAGCCAGGAUGUUGGCUUAGAAGCAGCCAUCAUUUAAAGAAAGCGUAAUAGCUCACUGGUCGAGUCGGCCUGCGCGGAAGAUGUAACGGGGCUAAACCAUGCACCGAAGCUGCGGCAGCGACACUAUGUGUUGUUGGGUAGGGGAGCGUUCUGUAAGCCUGUGAAGGUGUGCUGUGAGGCAUGCUGGAGGUAUCAGAAGUGCGAAUGCUGACAUAAGUAACGAUAAAGCGGGUGAAAAGCCCGCUCGCCGGAAGACCAAGGGUUCCUGUCCAACGUUAAUCGGGGCAGGGUGAGUCGACCCCUAAGGCGAGGCCGAAAGGCGUAGUCGAUGGGAAACAGGUUAAUAUUCCUGUACUUGGUGUUACUGCGAAGGGGGGACGGAGAAGGCUAUGUUGGCCGGGCGACGGUUGUCCCGGUUUAAGCGUGUAGGCUGGUUUUCCAGGCAAAUCCGGAAAAUCAAGGCUGAGGCGUGAUGACGAGGCACUACGGUGCUGAAGCAACAAAUGCCCUGCUUCCAGGAAAAGCCUCUAAGCAUCAGGUAACAUCAAAUCGUACCCCAAACCGACACAGGUGGUCAGGUAGAGAAUACCAAGGCGCUUGAGAGAACUCGGGUGAAGGAACUAGGCAAAAUGGUGCCGUAACUUCGGGAGAAGGCACGCUGAUAUGUAGGUGAAGUCCCUCGCGGAUGGAGCUGAAAUCAGUCGAAGAUACCAGCUGGCUGCAACUGUUUAUUAAAAACACAGCACUGUGCAAACACGAAAGUGGACGUAUACGGUGUGACGCCUGCCCGGUGCCGGAAGGUUAAUUGAUGGGGUUAGCCGCAAGGCGAAGCUCUUGAUCGAAGCCCCGGUAAACGGCGGCCGUAACUAUAACGGUCCUAAGGUAGCGAAAUUCCUUGUCGGGUAAGUUCCGACCUGCACGAAUGGCGUAAUGAUGGCCAGGCUGUCUCCACCCGAGACUCAGUGAAAUUGAACUCGCUGUGAAGAUGCAGUGUACCCGCGGCAAGACGGAAAGACCCCGUGAACCUUUACUAUAGCUUGACACUGAACAUUGAGCCUUGAUGUGUAGGAUAGGUGGGAGGCUUUGAAGUGUGGACGCCAGUCUGCAUGGAGCCGACCUUGAAAUACCACCCUUUAAUGUUUGAUGUUCUAACGUUGACCCGUAAUCCGGGUUGCGGACAGUGUCUGGUGGGUAGUUUGACUGGGGCGGUCUCCUCCUAAAGAGUAACGGAGGAGCACGAAGGUUGGCUAAUCCUGGUCGGACAUCAGGAGGUUAGUGCAAUGGCAUAAGCCAGCUUGACUGCGAGCGUGACGGCGCGAGCAGGUGCGAAAGCAGGUCAUAGUGAUCCGGUGGUUCUGAAUGGAAGGGCCAUCGCUCAACGGAUAAAAGGUACUCCGGGGAUAACAGGCUGAUACCGCCCAAGAGUUCAUAUCGACGGCGGUGUUUGGCACCUCGAUGUCGGCUCAUCACAUCCUGGGGCUGAAGUAGGUCCCAAGGGUAUGGCUGUUCGCCAUUUAAAGUGGUACGCGAGCUGGGUUUAGAACGUCGUGAGACAGUUCGGUCCCUAUCUGCCGUGGGCGCUGGAGAACUGAGGGGGGCUGCUCCUAGUACGAGAGGACCGGAGUGGACGCAUCACUGGUGUUCGGGUUGUCAUGCCAAUGGCACUGCCCGGUAGCUAAAUGCGGAAGAGAUAAGUGCUGAAAGCAUCUAAGCACGAAACUUGCCCCGAGAUGAGUUCUCCCUGACCCUUUAAGGGUCCUGAAGGAACGUUGAAGACGACGACGUUGAUAGGCCGGGUGUGUAAGCGCAGCGAUGCGUUGAGCUAACCGGUACUAAUGAACCGUGAGGCUUAACCUU
rnacentral:rRNA from 2 species